UUAAGUCAAAUUUGUAUGGAGUGGAACUUUUGCCUACGUUUGCCCCUAGCUAGGGACGCUGUUCCAACUGCAUACAAAUUCGAGUUA
rnacentral:pre_miRNA from 1 species